rnacentral:ribozyme from 1 species
AUUCUAACUUCCUCAUUUUCUUUUUCUUUUUCUUUUUCUUUUUCCUCCUC